GUAGAGAUGCUGGGUGUGCGGGCGCGGCCGGCCUCCUGCGGCGGGAGGGGAGGGUCAGUGAAAUCGGCUCUGGCGCGGGCGUCCUCCCACCCUCCCCUUCCUUCGGGGGAGUCGGUUUACCCGCCGCCUGCUUGUCUUCGACACCUGAUUGGCUGUCGAAGCUGUGGGACCGGGCCCUUGCUACUGGCUCGAGUCUCACAUGAGCGAAACCACUGCGCGGGGCGCGGGGGUGGCGGGGAGGCGGGCGUUGGUACGGUCCUCCCCGAGGCCGAGCGCCGCAGUGUCUGGCCCCGCGCCCCUGCGCAACGUGGCAGGAAGCGCGCGCUGGAGGCGGGGGCGGGCUGCCGGCCGAGACUUCUGGAUGGCGGCGGCCGCGGCUCCGCCCCGGGUUCCCACCGCCUGAAGGGCGAGACAAGCCCGACCUGCUACAGGCACUCGUGGGGGUGGGGGAGGAGCGGGGGUCGGUCCGGCUGGUUUGUGGGUGGGAGGCGCUUGUUCUCCAAAAACCGGCGCGAGCUGCAAUCCUGAGGGAGCUGCGGUGGAGGAGGUGGAGAGAAGGCCGCACCCUUCUGGGCAGGGGGAGGGGAGUGCCGCAAUACCUUUAUGGGAGUUCUCUGCUGCCUCCCGUCUUGUAAGGACCGCCCUGGGCCUGGAAGAAGCCCUCCCUCCUUUCCUCCUCGCGUGAUCUCGUCAUCGCCUCCAUGUCGAGUCGCUUCUCGAUUAUGGGCGGGAUUCUUUUGCCUAGGCUUAAGGGGCUAACUUGGUCCCUGGGCGUUGCCCUGCAGGGGAGUGAGCAGCUGUAAGAUUUGAGGGGCGACUCCGAUUAGUUUAUCUUCCCACGGACUAGAGUUGGUGUCGAGGUUAUUGUAAUAAGGGUGGGGUAGGGAAAUGGAGCUUAGUCAUUCACCUGGGGCUGAUUUUAUGCAACGAGACUGCGGAUUAUCACUACUUAUCAUUUUUGGAGCAUUUUUCUAGAGACAGACAUAAAGCAUGAUCACCUGAGUUUUAUACCAUUUGAGACCCUUGCUGCACCACCAAAGUGUAGCAUCAGGUUAAAUCUUAAUAGAAAAAUUUUAGCUUUUGCUUGAGAAACCAGUGCUUCCCUCCCUCACCCUCUCUCCCCAGGCUCUCUACCCCUUUGCAUCCCUACCAGGCAUCUUAGCAACUCUCACUCAUACUUGAUCCCAUUUUCCAUUUGUUGUACUUGCUCCUCUAGUAUUCAGACAUAGCACUAGCUUUCUCCCUCUCUUGAUCUUGGGUAGCCUGGUGUCUCGCGAAACCAGACAGAUUGGUUCCACCACAAAUUAAGGCUUGAGCUGGGGCUUGACUCUUACCCAGCAGUGCUUUUAUUCCUCCCUAGUUCACGUUCUUAAAUGUUUAUCUUGAUUUUCAUUUUAUCCUUUUUCCUUAGCUGGGAUUCUGUCCCUGACCGUCUUCACAGUCCAGGUGAUCUUGACUACUGCUUUACAGAGAAUUGGAUCUGAGGUUAGGCAACAUCUCCCUUUUUCUUCCUCUAAAUACCUCUCAUUUCUGUUCUUACCAGUUAGUAACUGAUCUCAGAUGCCUGUGUGAUAGCUUCCAAAUUGCUGUCUCUGUCUUUAGUGUUAUCUUUUGAUCCAUCUUACAUCUUGUUAGGAUGAUUGUCCUAAAGGAAGAUAGAGCAUGAAAAUGACAGGUGAAACUCCAUUACUGGCUUGUACUGUUUACAGCAAGUUGUCUAACCCGCGGGCCGCAUGGGACCCAGGACAGCUUUGAAUGCGACCCAACACAAAUUCGUAAACUUUCUUAAAGUUUUAGGAGUUUUUUUUGCGGGGUGUUUUUUUUGUUGUUGUUGUCUGUUUUUUUUUUUUGCUCAUCAGCUGUCCUUUAUAUGUGGCCCAAGACAGUUCUUGCAGUGUGGCCCAGGGAAGCCGAAAGAUUGGACACCCCUGGUUUACAGGAUGAAUUCUGUUCUCGUGAAUGUGAUGCAUAAGGUCCCUGGAUAGACUUUCCUCAAUUUAACAGCUUUUUCAUUUUUCACUAUUUUCCACAUACUACACACACAAAUAUGACCUCUCUCCUGAAGUCACAUGGAAUGAAUUGCAGUUACCCAAAUCAUAGAGACGUCAUAUAUCUUUGUGGGGUGGUUCUUUUUGGAAUGCUACCCUUGCUGCUUUUAAUCCUGCAGAUUCAAAUGUCAUCUCCCCUUUGGUCAUGCCUUCCAUGGUCUGUUGUUCUAUGACCCAAACUGCCCUUUUAAAAAAGCAGUUUUCUUCUGACUCCUGAGCAGUUUGUACUGCGUGGGUCAUAGUAAUUCUGGGGUUGUUGUCAUUGCUGAUUUAAAUUACCUUAACUAUUCUGAGCUUUUUGAAGGAAUAGUGUCUUGUACUCCUGAGCUCCUAGUAUACUCUGAUGUCUAGCCAACUUUAAGUAAAUGGAGUGAGCGACAUGUAAAUGUCUUUAUGGUUUGACAUUUUAUUAAUCUUGAGCAUUGGAAAAGUGGCUGGUAUGACUAAAGAACUGAAUUUUUAUUUUUUAUCUAAUUUGAAUUGCAACUGUGGACAGUAUAGCUGUAGCCCCGGACUUGUUCUGUGGAUUACAGAAUACGUGGACAUUGAUGGUUUUCUCUUUUUACUGAGCAGUAAGGAAAUAAAAGCUGAAGCUCUCUGGCCCAUUACAUUUCAUUUAACUGCUUGUUUUGUUUUAUUUAUUAUAUAUUUAGCUGAAAGCUAAGUCCAACAAACCAUUUUUAAAGAUGUGCCUGCCUUGGACAACAGUGAAAGCAAGCGUUAAUGAGUUUGGAUUUCAAAAAAAAAUGCAUAAUGAAUUUUAGGGAGGUGUGGAAACAGGAAGAGAACUAGAACUGGAAGUAAAGCAUUGAAGAUGUGACUGAAUUGCUGCAAUCUCAUGAUCAAAUUUGAAUGGAUGAGGAGUUGCUUUUUAGGGAUGAGCAAAGAAAGUGGUUUCUCGAGAUGGAAUCUACUGGUGAAGUUGCUGUGAACAUUGUUAAAAUGCCAAUAAAGGAUUUAGGAAUUACAGAAACCUGGUUGAUAAAGCAGUGCCAGGGUGUGAGAGAGUUGACUUCAAUUUUGAAAUAAGUUCCACUGGCUGGGUGUGGUGGCUCACACCUGCAAUCCCAGUACUUUAGGAGGCCGAGACUGGUAGAUCAUUUGAGGUCAGGAGUUCAAGACCAGCCUUGCCAACAUGGUGAAACCCCACCUCUACCAAAUUAGCCAGGUGUGGUGCACACCUGUAGUCCCAGCUACUUGGGAAGCUGAGGCAGGAGAAUCUCUUGAACCAGGGAGGAGGAGGUUGCAGUAAGCCGAGAUGGCGCCCCUGCACUCCAGCCUGGGUGACAGAGUGAGACCUUGCGUUUAAAAAAAAAAAAAAAGGAAAAGGAAAAAAAAGUUCUACUGUGGGUAAAAUGCUAUCAUGCUAUCAAACAGCAUCACAUGCUACAGAGAAGUCUUGUGAAAGGAUGUCAGUGUGGCAAACUUCAUUGUCUUUUAAGAAAUUGCCACAGCUAUCGUAAUCUUCAACCACCACCACCCUGAUGAGUCAGUAGCCAUCGUUAACGUUGGCGUAAGACCCUCCACCAGCAAAAAGAUUGUUAGCAUUUUUUUAGCAGUGAUGUAUUUAUCAAUUAUACAUAAUGCUAUUGUACACUUCUUAAUAGACUAUGGUAUAGUGUAACCAUAAUUUAUGCACUGGGAAACCAACAAAUUCAUGAGAUUCGCUUUAUUGUAGUGCUCUGGAAUUGAGCCUGCCGUGUUUCUGAGGUAUACCUGUGUAUUUAGUAUGUUCCUUGUAUAUAAAACCCCAUUUUAUAGGGUAGGAAACUAAGGCUUAGAGUUUGAGCAAUUUUCCCAUAGAUAACACCAAUAAAUUGAGGGCUGCAGAGACCACUUAAGUGGUUCUCUUAACAGUAGUCUAGACAUGACGUAAUGAGAUUUGGCUUAGGAGUGACAAUGGUAAGGAAGUUAAAGGAUUCAGGAACCAAAUACCAGUUAUUGAGAAGAAAGAAUGGCCUCAAAACAUCACUUCUCAAGGAAGCCUUGAUACCCUCACCCUUACUACACUGUAUCCUCCAUUUGAAUGUUGUCAAGAGCUCUUCUCACAAUUGUAAAUAAUAAUUGUGUAAUUUUGUUUUUUUUUUCCUACUUUAGGUUGCUCCUUGAGGGCAGGACAGUUCUUAUGGCUUUAUCCGUUGCGUAAGCACAGAGAGGUCUGCGAGGUCAAAACUAUUGUCAUGAUAGCAAGAUGCCUGUCUUUUUCAUUUAUUCUCACGGUGUGCAGAGGCUACAUGAUGUGUGAUGACAUCCUCAUUGAUGUUAAUGAAUGGUGCUAUACUUGAAUUUUCUAAGGUGUCAUUAGCAAUUCUCCUGCCUCAGCCUCCUGCAUAACUGGGACUACAGGGAAGCACCAUUUUCCACAAAACUCUCAAGAAGGACUUGUUGCAACUGGAAAAGCAAUUAAAUGUGAAUCGUGAUCCAGGAGAAAGUAACAACUCACAUAACUCCCAAAUUAAAAGUUUUCCAAAGAUAUAUCAUUUUUUUUCUCUUGGCCUUUUAAGAAACUAGCCAACAAAUACUCUUGACAGGUUUGUGUUUGGUUUUGAAAACACACACCUUAGUGUACUGAAAGAAAAACAAUUUCUUUUAAUUUGGUUUGUUGGUCCCACACCCCAUCUAUCAAUGUAUGUGCUAUUUACAAAUAAGUUCUAUACAGUAUUUUUGCAGUACCUUUGAUAAUUCCUAGACCUCUAUUUUCAUUCUGUGUAUUAAUGUGAAUAACAGAUGGAUAUUUUAAUAUUUAAGGCAGAUGGUAAACUUUCCUAUAGGUCUUGUGAGACUUCGUCUUAUAGGCUGAACACCAUUCACAAAAUGUAAUAAUGCUUCAUUCCUUCAGGUUGAGGUAAAGAACUUGAGCAACUGGAUUAGCAAAGCUGCAAAGAAUGAAAUGUGGCCUAAGAUGUAAUUAUGUUCUCUGCCCUUCCUUUGGGCCAGGGUAGUUUUGCACUUGACACAAUGGAAAAUAGGCCAUAAAGCCUGAAAAUAAAAUGUUCUAAACCCCAA
rnacentral:lncRNA from 1 species